CAGUCGUACCGGCGGAUAAUCAGCCUUUCGGGUGCGAUUCUGUGGGGCGUGAGGAGCUUAACCGCCUUCAUGCCUGCAUAUUCGUGCUCUUGGGUGUACUUGCUCGUGUGGUUGGUUAACAUCAAUUUCGGACGCCAUAAAAUGGCUGGAGGAAUGUAGCUUCGAUCUCGUAUUGAAGUGUUAUAGCCUUCGGUAGAUGUGAUGAUCGGGAUUGGAGGAUUGCAACGGAUACCCUUCGGGGCUACCUGUCUGGUCUCUGGAAGUUGCUCUGGUGCUGAAAGCUUGCUUAUGGUAUCAAAGUUGACAUCUAAUAGGUUAGAGUGGUU
rnacentral:rRNA from 1 species